rnacentral:rRNA from 1 species
AAAACAUCUUUUCUUGUUAUAUUUAUGAAAUUUGUCCUGCCCAAUGAAUAAUUUAAUGGCCGCAGUAUCUUGACUGUGCAAAGGUAGCAUAAUCAUUAGUUUAUUUAUUGUGGACUUGUAUGAAUGGUUUGACGAAAUAAUAACUGUCUCAUAUUUUUUAAUUGAAUUUGAAUUUUAAGUUAAAAUGCUUAAGUGAUUUUGUUGGACGAGAAGACCCUAUAGAUCUUUAGUUUUCUAAAUUCUUCUGUUUUAGAUUAUUUUAUUAUUAUAAUUUAUUUGACUUUCGUUGGGGUGACUUUGAGAUAUUAUUAACUCUUAAUUUAUAUUUAUAUAAUUAUUUUUAUAAAUUUGACCCUUUAAUGAGGAUUAUAAGAUAUAGAUACCUUAGGGAUAACAGCGUAAUNUUUUUUGAGAGUUCUUAUCGACGAAGGAGAUUGCGACCUCGAUGUUGGAUUAAGACAAUUUUUAGGUGUAGAUGCUUAAGUAAAUAGGUCUGUUCGACCUUUAAAGUCUUACAUGAUCUGA